GGGUUGUGAGGUUAAGCGACUAAGCGUACACGGUGGAUGCCCUGGCAGUCAGAGGCGAUGAAGGACGUGCUAAUCUGCGAUAAGCGUCGGUGAGGUGAUAUGAACCGUUAUAACCGGCGAUUUCCGAAUGGGGAAACCCAGUGUGUUUCGACACACUAUCAUUAACUGAAUCCAUAGGUUAAUGAGGCGAACCGGGGGAACUGAAACAUCUAAGUACCCCGAGGAAAAGAAAUCAACCGAGAUUCCCCCAGUAGCGGCGAGCGAACGGGGAGGAGCCCAGAGCCUGAAUCAGUGUGUGUGUUAGUGGAAGCGUCUGGAAAGGCGCGCGAUACAGGGUGACAGCCCCGUACACAAAAAUGCACAUAUUGUGAGCUCGAUGAGUAGGGCGGGACACGUGGUAUCCUGUCUGAAUAUGGGGGGACCAUCCUCCAAGGCUAAAUACUCCUGACUGACCGAUAGUGAACCAGUACCGUGAGGGAAAGGCGAAAAGAACCCCGGCGAGGGGAGUGAAAAAGAACCUGAAACCGUGUACGUACAAGCAGUGGGAGCCUCUUAAUGGGGUGACUGCGUACCUUUUGUAUAAUGGGUCAGCGACUUAUAUUCUGUAGCAAGGUUAACCGAAUAGGGGAGCCGAAGGGAAACCGAGUCUUAACUGGGCGUUAAGUUGCAGGGUAUAGACCCGAAACCCGGUGAUCUAGCCAUGGGCAGGUUGAAGGUUGGGUAACACUAACUGGAGGACCGAACCGACUAAUGUUGAAAAAUUAGCGGAUGACUUGUGGCUGGGGGUGAAAGGCCAAUCAAACCGGGAGAUAGCUGGUUCUCCCCGAAAGCUAUUUAGGUAGCGCCUCGUGAAUUCAUCUCCGGGGGUAGAGCACUGUUUCGGCAAGGGGGUCAUCCCGACUUACCAACCCGAUGCAAACUGCGAAUACCGGAGAAUGUUAUCACGGGAGACACACGGCGGGUGCUAACGUCCGUCGUGAAGAGGGAAACAACCCAGACCGCCAGCUAAGGUCCCAAAGUCAUGGUUAAGUGGGAAACGAUGUGGGAAGGCCCAGACAGCCAGGAUGUUGGCUUAGAAGCAGCCAUCAUUUAAAGAAAGCGUAAUAGCUCACUGGUCGAGUCGGCCUGCGCGGAAGAUGUAACGGGGCUAAACCAUGCACCGAAGCUGCGGCAGCGACGCUUAUGCGUUGUUGGGUAGGGGAGCGUUCUGUAAGCCUGCGAAGGUGUGCUGUGAGGC
rnacentral:rRNA from 1 species